CUAAUUGUGACAUAAAAAAAAUCAACAUUGUGCAAACAUGAGAUGCAAAAGCCAAAAUUAUGACACAAGUCGAAAUUAAGAGAUCAAAAUGUAGAUAAUUGCCCCUUAUUACAACUUGUCAAUUUGGACUUCUUUCAUAAUUAUGAGUUAGUAUGUCAUAAUUUUGAAAAAAGUAAUAAUUGUGACUUUUUAUAUCAUAAUCCUGAUUUACCAAAGCAUGCUUGUUUUUCUUCUUUGGCAGAAAUGAGACAUACAAGACCACCAGGGCAGCAGAGCAGAUAUUUUCCCUCUCCGGUAGCUGCCUUCACCACAUAUUUUUACCAAAGCUUGAACAAAGGAAGGAAAUCUGACGUGCCCUGGAGGAAACUGCACAAUGUUGAAGUUUAUGGAAGUCUGGUACUACUGAAACCGCCCUAUUGUGUUGCAACACCCAGUCUGGCUUACAACAUGCAUGCAACAGAUUUAUACUUGCCUAUGUAGGUGGAGGCCUCACCGUUUGGUUCCUGGAAUGGUGUGAUAAACCCCAUCAUGGAAGCAGAGCCAAAGGUCAACCAGGAAAAGCAACCUUGGGAAGCAAGAAUGCUUUGCUCUGAGGAAGUACAUCAUAGACACUCGGGAAGGCACACCUCCCCAAUGAGUCAGCAUUACUGCUAGGUGGACUCUAGGAUAUGACAUUAAUAAAAUGUUCUUAUGGACACCUUUAACAAAAGGCC
rnacentral:lncRNA from 1 species